CGACAAGCCCACCCUGUUUCACAUAAAUGGCUCCAGGCAACAGUGGUCCAAAUGGGAGCAGAGCAACCUCAAAUAAGUGUCCAGUUAGAGCUUUGAAUCUAGGCCUCCUAGUCUUUCCUAUGUUAGGUGGGACUGGGUUACCAAGAAAAGGUUCUUAACUACCUACGUGUUCAGGGGGCAGGAUAAGAUAGCUGCUUGUAGGAUGGGGAAGUUAAUACCCAGGACAGGGUGUAAUAUGUCCUCCCCACAAGAAGCUUAGAUCCAGGUGGGUGAUUACAGCAGGGAUUCUCAAACUUUUUGCAUUGGUGAUCCUUUCACACAGCAAGCGUCUGAGAAAUGAAAAAUAUUUAACACUAUUUUAAAUACUAAAUGUAUAAUAUUGUUUAAGUUAAUUUACUUUUUCUCACCACUUUGAACACUAAAACAAAUUUUUAUCAAAUUAUUGUUAUAAGCAGAAAAAUUAUUUUUUAAAAUAGUUUAUUGUUUAAUACUGAGGGUUUGCGAAGAAACGUUGUUAAUAUCACUUUGCACAGCAGAUUUAGCGCAGUAUUGCCACCAUUACUUCUAUGUUGCUUCACAGAAGACUUGCUAGUGAGCUGGGAUGUCUUGAAAAGUGAUAUUAACAAACACCUUCACAGUCUCCCAGCUCUGAAGGCCAGCAAUAGCACAGAAAUACAAAUGGCAAUGGGGCCCUAGAAUUCUGUUGUGAAAAGUGAUAUUAACAAAUAUACAAGUAUCACUUUUCACAGCAGACUUCGUAGGUAGCUGGGAGUCUGUGAAAUGUGAUAUUAACAAAUAUCAUGUUUCACAACAGACUUAGUGCCCCUGUGAUGGUUGCCCAUCCCAAAAAGUAGUGGGAGGGAUUAAGGUGGACAGUAGGCCAAUUAAUUCUACAGGCUGCACCUGGAGGAGGAGCCAAGGCACAGGGGUUAAUUGGAAGCAGGCUCACCUAAUCAGGAACAGGACUGGAGGGGCUUCUGUAAAACACAGGAGCUGAAAGCAGAGAGAAGCUCUUGGAGGAAGGCAGGGAAGUAGGUUUCAGUCACUCCCUGAGUGGAGGAAGUUGGGAAGCUGGCAAGCCCAGAAAGGGGGAAGCCAGAUAAUUGGGAAGAAGCCCAGGGAAACAGUAGCAAGGGGUAGGACCAUGCAGAAAUUUUGGCUGCUUGUUACAGGGUCCUGCGCUGGAACCCAGUCUUGAAGGCAGGCUUGGGUUCCCCACUGGGAAGUGACAAGGGCAUUGGAGAUGCCAGCCCCAGCCAGUGGGUCUGGAAGGACUUUGAAUUCCCCAGAAGGGGAGGACCUUAGUGACUUGGAUGAAGGGCCAAUCCACGAAGAGGAGACUGCAGUUCCUGGAGUGAGAGAGGGGCUGCCUACUAGAGGGAGAGACAAAAAGAUGGCAUUCAAAUUGUGGACGGGAGGGUUGACCACAAGAGGGACCAGGAGGAAGCGCCAGAUCGAUGGUGAGUAGUGAAAGCAGCGUAGAUGCCAGAAGCACCACAGUGGCAAUGGGGCGCUAGAAACUGCUGUGAAACAUGACUUUGGCAAAGUUUCUUCGCGACCCUCACAGAGAGCCUCGAAUGUGCUCCCCAAUAGGUGCACCGCUGGUGUAGCAACCUCAGCCCCCUCACUUGGAAGAGGAUGGUACUGCCCCUGACUUGCAACCUCCCAUAAUAACCGUGUGACCUCCUGAGUGGUUGUGACAUCCAGUUUGAGAAACCCUGUUGUAGAACGUGGUGCCAAUGGAUAUCUGCUCGGUCAUUUAUUAGUAGUUUUAUUUAGGUAGCUUGUAUCAAUAGUCCCCUAUAGAUGGGGUGGGAUCAUGUUAGCCACUGGGUGCCAAAGUGUUGGGGAUUGACUAGACAAGAGACCCAUCAUUGCUGACUGUGUCUCUGUUAAUCUAGUGGGUAUGCUCUAGUGCAGAUGGGAGUGUGAUGGCAGGCACUCACACCCCAGCACAGGUUUUGGGCAGUGAUGGCUCGCUCUUGGGUUAUUUGCUGUGCUUGCAAUGGAGCAGCCCCGCUAGAGGAGGAGCUGGAAGAAGAGGACUUGAGCAGCCUGGACAUCUUCGCAGUGGACUUGAGGAGCCAAAGAGUCCUGCCUGGUGGUGACAGCGAUAUGGGAGGAGCCUUGGUUAUGUCUCUAUCAAGUGUCUGAGUUGUCAGAGCCCUCUCUGAGAGCAAAGAGAUGUUUCUCAUUCGUAUAGAAUGAGUUCUGGGGAGGAUGGAUCCCUGCCUUUGGCUGGUAAUGGGCUGGGAGCAUUGCCCUGCUCCCUUAGACUGAAUGUGAAGGAGGGAGGCUGCCUGCAACGAGGGACACGCUGUUAUGCCUGGUCUGUCCUUUCACAUCUCUGGGUGUGAGUCAUUGGUCACAACAUUAUUUACCUUGGUUGUACUCAGCCUUCUCUUCAUUCAGAGAACCUGAGCAUCCUGGCCAGGCAUGGGAUUUGUGGGAUGGGAUGGGAUGGGGAUAGGGAGAGACCUGGGGGGACUGUAGUCGCUUAUCGGUGCUGAUCACUUCAAGCACUGGCUAGGCUGUAGGGGAAUAGGGAAGGAAGCUCCAAGAAGCAGGUGACCUGACUGUGUGUGUCCUCCACAUAUGAGUGCUGGCCUAGGUUACAAGUGUUCUCUCUUUCUGUUGUCAGUUUCUAAUGACACUGGGUCAAUAAGAGAAUGGCCAACUGGGGCAGAGACCGGGAGAAGGAGCAGCCACUCUGAGCCCAUUCAGCAGAAAGGAAAUCAGAGUGAGCUGUGAAGUAAAUGCAAAUGGAAAUUUGCUUAAGCUAAGUAUUGAGAGAGGGCUGUAAACACUCUUGUCUGUGGAGAGAAAUGUGUUGUAUUAGCAUAGGGUGUGUCACUGAGAGCAAAAUCCCUGAAUAAAUCUGGGGCAUGUGAAGGUUGGGGGAGUCCUUGCUUUUCUCUCAGCAAGUUGUCAGGGCCCAGGGAAAGGAAAGUAAGUUUCCCUGAACUAUGGUUGUGACAUUGUACCACAUAUUCUUCACAGUGAUAUUACUAUGAUAUGAUUAUGGCAUCAUUAUGAUGCAUUUUAUGCAAGAUGGGUCAUGUAUGGUGUAAUUGAAAAUAUUAUAUUUUCUGAAUAUUAUUAUCCUGUUUGUAUGCAUGUAUCACUUUUGUAUCUGAAGUUAUAAAUACUGACUAUAUAUCAGUACUUCAAGUAUAGUUACUCCUGGGUAAUGCCCACUGGACAAGAUGCUUUCAGUCUAGAUACUGGGUGUGGAAGGACCUAUUCAGGGCAAUGGACCACCAGGAAAAACAACAAGCCUUAGGAGAAGUUUAUCCCCCAUGUGGUGAACCUUCCUGAGAAUGCUACAGACAGCCCGUGAGUGAUGGCUGCUAUGACUCUACAAGGACAUGUGACUAGGCCACAUGAUGCUGGACUCCAUCUUGGGAUAUCAGUAUUUUUCCACAAACUGGUCUGGGAACCAAGCUUUGAAACAAAGGGUUUCUGCCAUUUGCAAAAAGCUGUAUAAGGCACAUAGUAACAUCAUCUGUGGUUCUUCAUUCCCCACACAAGAAGACUCCUGGAAACACUUGAGGAACAAAGACUGAACUGGGGGAAGUGCUGGACCGAGGCUAAAGGGAUUUCUAGCCUGCAUAUGAAACACCUGGGGAUUCCAAGCUGCAAGCAAGUGUAGCUUGUGCCUCAAGAAUCUAUAAGUCUUCCUGUACCACCAGUUAGGGUGAGAAUCUGCUAUUCAUAUCCAAUCUAUUUAGUAUAUUAAGCUUAGUUUGUAUAUUUUAUUUGCUAGAUAAUCUGUUUGCUAUCACUUAAAAUCUAUCUUUUGUAGUUGUUAAA